CCUAAAGAUGGGGCGAGGACAGAUGUAAUUAUAAACAGGUGUUUCCUUUGUCAUUAAGGCGGGGAAAGUGGAAAGCGUUGAAUUUAAGAAAGGCAGGUGCAAUUUAAACAUUUCUUGGAUACAUAUAUAGUAAUAUAGAUAGAUGUAUUAUGUUGUUUUAGAGAUGCUUGAUUACUAUUAGCUUUAUAUUAUGUAAUUAUCGUUUUUAUGUUUCUCUUUGUUACAAUGGGGACUAUGGUGAUGCAAUGAAUCUUUGAGUUCUUGAAGUGUUUUUAUAAGAGAUUUGGACAACAACUCAAGUCUUGAAACCAUGUAACAUGAGUUGUCAUAGCUUUGCACCUUUAGACAUUGUCAUCUUUCUUUCGACUUCAUCAAUUUUCUUUCUUAUCACACAGAAAAUGUAGAUAUGGUUGCUGAAUGCUCGACAUGUAAAAGUAAAGGAAGAUUUGCCAAGAUACCUCACUCCAAAUUACCAAGUUUUGUUUCGUUAUUAUUGUGAGAUUAGCACUCCAACAUAGCAAGACUAUUAAAGAAAUGAUGAUGAACUUCUCAAGGACUGCAGUUUUCAAUGUUAACAACGUACAGGAAAGUAAUCAAG